rnacentral:rRNA from 1 species
GGUUGAUCCUGCCAGUAGUCAUAUGCUUGUCUAAAAGAUUAAGCCAUGCAUGUCUAAGUAUAAACUAAUUAUACAAGUGAAACUGCGAAUGGCUCAUUAAAUCAGUUAUAAUUUAUUUGAUAGUACCCUUUUACUACUUGGAUAACCGUGGUAAUUCUAGAGCUAAUACAUGCCUUGAAAGUCCUGACCUUUAUGGAAGGGAUGCAGUUAUUAGAUACAAAACCAACCCGGGAAACCGGUCCCUUGGUGAUUCAUGAUAACUUUGCAAAUCGCAUGGCCUUGUGCCGGCGAUG